AACGAACGCUGGCGGCAGGCUUAACACAUGCAAGUCGAACGAACCCUUCGGGGUUAGUGGCGGACGGGUGAGUAACACGUGGGAACGUGCCCUUUGGUUCGGAACAACUCAGGGAAACUUGAGCUAAUACCGAAUGUGCCCUUCGGGGGAAAGAUUUAUCGCCAUUGGAGCGGCCCGCGUCUGAUUAGCUUGUUGGUGAGGUAAAGGCUCACCAAGGCUACGAUCAGUAGCUGGUCUGAGAGGAUGAUCAGCCACAUUGGGACUGAGACACGGCCCAAACUCCUACGGGAGGCAGCAGUGGGGAAUCUUGCGCAAUGGGCGAAAGCCUGACGCAGCCAUGCCGCGUGAAUGAUGAAGGUCUUAGGAUUGUAAAAUUCUUUCACCGGGGACGAUAAUGACGGUACCCGGAGAAGAAGCCCCGGCUAACUUCGUGCCAGCCGCCGCUGUAAAAC
rnacentral:rRNA from 1 species